rnacentral:ncRNA from 1 species
GUCGGAAUUUUAAAACAAAAUUUAGAAUGACGGCGUACCUUUUGCAUAAUGGGUCAGCAACUUAAUAGUAGUAGCAAGGUUAAAAGCCCUAGCGAAAGCGACUGGAUAGGAUAUAAGCUUCUGUAAAAAAAGUUGAAUACUAUGAUGGAUAAGUUACUGCUAUUAGACCCGAAGCCAGGUGAUCUUACUUAGACCAGAUUAUAAUGGAUCGAACGGGUGAAUGUUGCAUAAUUCUCCGAAGAGUUUAAGUAAGCGGUAGAGCAUUUUGCCGCACUGAGAAGUAAUUCUCUUUAUAAAAACUAGCUCAUAACGGUGGAAACCUUAAAUUAAUCUUGUUAAU